UACGUAGGGUGCGAGCGUUGUCCGGAAUUAUUGGGCGUAAAGAGCUCGUAGGCGGUGUGUCACGUCGGCCGUGAAAACCUGCAGCUUAACUGUGGGCGUGCGGUCGAUACGGGCAUCACUGGAGUUCGGCAGGGGAGACUGGAAUUCCUGGUGUAGCGGUGAAAUGCGCAGAUAUCAGGAGGAACACCUGUGGCGAAGGCGGCCGCCUGGUUGGAUACUGACGCUGAGACGCGAAAGCGUGGGGAGCAAACAGG
rnacentral:rRNA from 1 species